CGAAUGCCUGGCCAUAAGCGCCGCACUUGCCGAUCGCCAGCGCGCCGGCUGCGGAAGCCGGUGUUGCGACGAGAUGGGCGGCAAAAGCUGAAACCAAAGCAAAAACAAAAAAAGCGCGGCAACGCGCCGCCGUGANNNNGUGAAAGCCGUCAAAGUCCCCUCCCCAGAGGUCAUUCCGGGAAAGACAUUAGGCGGAAGGGCGUUUCAACUUGGUGAACAAGGUGGAAAGGAAAGAGGUAAACGCUAGCCGCGC
rnacentral:misc_RNA from 1 species